rnacentral:tRNA from 1 species
AAGUCUUUAAGUUAAGUUAAACUAUUAACCUUCAAAGUUAGAAAUAUUCUUUAAGUCUUA